GCCGCGGUAAUACGUAGGGUGCAAGCGUUAUCCGGAAUUAUUGGGCGUAAAGAGCUCGUAGGCGGUCUGUCGCGUCUGCUGUGAAAUCCCGAGGCUCAACCUCGGGCUUGCAGUGGGUACGGGCAGACUAGAGUGCGGUAGGGGAGAUUGGAAUUCCUGGUGUAGCGGUGGAAUGCGCAGAUAUCAGGAGGAACACCGAUGGCGAAGGCAGAUCUCUGGGCCGUAACUGACGCUGAGGAGCGAAAGGGUGGGGAGCAAACAGGCUUAGAUACCCUGGUAGUCCACCCCGUAAACGUUGGGAACUAGUUGUGGGGUCCUUUCCACGGAUUCCGUGACGCAGCUAACGCAUUAAGUUCCCCGCCUGGGGAU
rnacentral:rRNA from 1 species